rnacentral:rRNA from 1 species
GACGAACGCUGGCGGCGUGCCUAAUACAUGCAAGUAGAACGCUGAAGGAGGAGCUUGCUUCUCUGGAUGAGUUGCGAACGGGUGAGUAACGCGUAGGUAACCUGCCUGGUAGCGGGGGAUAACUAUUGGAAACGAUAGCUAAUACCGCAUAAUAGUAGAUGUUGCAUGACAUUUGCUUAAAAGGUGCAAUUGCAUCACUACCAGAUGGACCUGCGUUGUAUUAGCUAGUUGGUGGGGUAACGGCUCACCAAGGCGACGAUACAUAGCCGACCUGAGAGGGUGAUCGGCCACACUGGGACUGAGACACGGCCCAGACUCCUACGGGAGGCAGCAGUAGGGAAUCUUCGGCAAUGGCCGGAAGUCUGACCGAGAAACGCCGCGGGAGUGAAGAAGGUUUUCGGAUCGUAAAGCUCUGUUGUAAGAGAAGAACGAGUGUGAGAGUGGAAAGUUCACACUGUGACGGUAUCUUACCAGAAAGAGACGGCUAACUACGUG